AGGAUGAACGCUAGCGGCAGGCUUAACACAUGCAAGUCGAGGGGUAGAAGAAGCUUGCUUUUUUGAGACCGGCGCACGGGUGCGUAACGCGUAUGCAAUCUACCUUUUACAAAGGGAUAGCCCAGAGAAAUUUGGAUUAAUACCUUAUAGUAUUAAGUUUUGGCAUCAAGAUUUAAUUAAAGAUUUAUCGGUAAAAGAUGAGCAUGCGUCCCAUUAGUUAGUUGGUAAGGUAACGGCUUACCAAGACUUCGAUGGGUAGGGGUCCUGAGAGGGAGAUCCCCCACACUGGUACUGAGACACGGACCAGACUCCUACGGGAGGCAGCAGUGGGGAAUAUUGCGCAAUGGGCGAAAGCCUGACGCAGCGACGCCGCGUGGGGGAUGAAGGCCUUCGGGUUGUAAACCCCUUUCAGCAGGGACGAAGCGAAAGUGACGGUACCUGCAGAAGAAGCGCCGGCUAACUACGUGCCAGCAGCCGC
rnacentral:rRNA from 1 species